rnacentral:rRNA from 1 species
UACGAAGGGGGCUAGCGUUGCUCGGAAUCACUGGGCGUAAAGCGCACGUAGGCGGAUCGUUAAGUCAGGGGUGAAAUCCUGGAGCUCAACUCCAGAACUGCCUUUGAUACUGAGGAUCUUGAGUUCGGGAGAGGUGAGUGGAACUGCGAGUGUAGAGGUGAAAUUCGUAGAUAUUCGCAAGAACACCAGUGGCGAAGGCGGCUCACUGGCCCGAUACUGACGCUGAGGCACGAAAGCGUGGGGAG